AUAUCCGGUCAUGCCGUAUCAAUGGAUGUUGUUGUGACGUCUUUUAUGUCGUAUUUUAGCAUUGUUUUCAGUAACAAUGCAUGUGAUCAGAGAAAUAUAAAUAUUAAUGGGGAGUCUUCACGUGUCAAAGUAGCAUCAUGAGAAGAGCAAUUUUGUACAGUUUAUUAAUUGGUAGUUGCUUUUUAAUCUUGUCGAAUUGGUUUUGGACUAAAUACACAUUCUUACCAGAAGGUUUUAAUAAAGCAAAUGCAAACUGUUAUAAGAAUCCAAAAUCUGUUUUAUCCUGUGAAGAAAUGAUCAGAGAAACUAUAUAUACAUGUUCCCUUUCUACACAGCCGAGAUUUUUAUUAUCUAGUCAUCGUAAAGAUAUUACACCAAGUCUCAGUGCAGAAGAUAAUCAAAGAAAAACGUACUUAACAAUCGGUAUACCAAGUGUAAAGCGUAAAACAGAUAAUUAUUUAUUUCAAACUUUGCAGUCGAUAAUUAAAGGAAGCUCGCGGGAAGAAUUGCAAAAUAUUACAAUUGUCGUGUUAGUGGCUGACGUAAAUUCUGUUGAUCGUCAUGGCCGAAUAAGAGAGAUUAAGAGUGCCUUCGAAGAUCACAUUAAGUCUGGACUUUUACAUAUAAUUGAAACAACGCCGUCAAUUUAUCCACCAUUUAUUACUUUACACCAAACAUACAAUGAUUCGAUGGAAAGAGUUCAUUGGCGUUCCAAACAGGUUAUAGAUUUUGCUCUACUGUUUAACUAUUCAGUCUAUUUAUCUGAUUAUUUUCUCAUCCUUGAAGACGAUGUACUUUGCGCUCCUCAUUUCAUAACAGCUGUCCGCGAAUUUAUAGAUUUUCAGCAGGAAAGUUGGGUAUCAUUGACCUUUACUGGAUUUUUAAUUAUUGGAAGACUCUUAAAAUCUUCAGAUUUACCACGUCUGGUUUCAUUUUUGAUGCUUUUUUAUUCAGAAAAACCUAUUGACUUACUUAUAUUACAGUUUAUCGAUCUCCUAGUGCCUUCACAAAGAACAAUCAUCAGAAGAAUACCCAGUCUAUUUCAGCACAUUGGUCUACGUUCAUCUUUAGAUGGUAAGAUUCAGAAAUUAAAAGAUAAAACCUUUACGGGUGUUGCUAAUAAAUUUGAAGCGAAUAACCCAAGUGCCGAUAUCAUUACGACAAUUACAACUUAUGAUAAUUUUUAUCCAGAAUUAGCAUAUAAUUCUGGUUUUGGCUAUUUCUGGGGGCAGUCUCCGAAGAUAAAUGAUACUUUUGACGUCAUUUUUCACAAACCAUCUCUGAUAGAGCAUAUUUAUAUAGAAACUGGUUCGAAAGACCAUAACAAAGAUAUUUUACUCCACGGAGUGGUAGAAGUCGGUUUGCAUUUUAUAAAAAUGGAAUCUAGUAAUAAACCACUUUGUAGUAAUUAUACAAUGGUCGGAAGUUUUAAAAAUGGGAAAGCCGAAAUUAAUUCUUUAAUGCAUCAACAUAUACCAAUUCAGUGUAUUAGAAUUCGAGUUUUACAGAAACAAAGUAAUUGGCUUGUAAUUUCUCAAAUUGCUAUUUUUUAAAAUGGUUAAGUAUGAAGUUGUGUUUAUGCUAUCCAAAAUAAUAAAUAACUUGCAAAAUUUGCCAUUUAUUAUGUUAAUAAUGCCUAAACUUGGAUCUAAUGAAUGGAUGAAUAAAAAUUCUAUCUAGAAUGCAUGAAUUUGCUUCAAUAUACCGGCUUGAAGUAACUUAGAUCCAAACCAAAUGACAAAUAAUCAAAUGGUUAGUUUAUGUGAUGAAGGAAAACUAAAUUUUUAUUCAUCAGUUCAUUCAGAUAGAGUAAAUGUGUCUUUAAAUGAUUGUUUAUGAAUACAAAGAUAAAUUUGAAAAUGUUUAGGUAUAAUUUAUUACUACUACUAUAAAAAAUGUACUUAGUUGUGUGUAUGUGUAUAUGUAUUGUAUAUCUUUAUAGCUAUUUUGUUAAAUGCUAUAAGAUUUCAUGAUAACAUUCAUUGCACUCCAUUAAUAUAAUGUUUUAAUUAUCAUUGCACUCCAUGUUGUCAAAUUACUACAUUAACUUUCUGUUUAUCAUGAGUACAGAGUACAAUUGCUUUUGGAUGCUUAAUGUCCAUCAUCAGAGUCCAAAUCUUUUAAAAUACACAUGAAUACUUAUCAAGUGUUACAUCAUAUACAAAUUCAUAUUCUAAAAUUUAAAUUUGAACAUUGGCAUUCUUAAUCUUUUAUAGCACUUUUUAUGCGACUUUCAAAAAUAUCAGGAAUGUUUUUGAAAACAUUUCCGAUGAUUGAAUGUAAGUUUUAGAAGAAGCAUUCGAAUACAAUUUAACAUUUAACAGGAAUUCGGAACCUAUUUUGUGAGAUUUGGAAUCUGACAAAGGACGAGAAGCACCAAAAAGCAUUUAGUAGAAAAAUUGAUCAUACUCCAUGGCAUUCAGAAAGCUAAUGUGGUAAUUAUAUUUAUUUUUAAGUGCUAAUGCAGUCAUAUGUUGUGUUGACAUCAUUUAAAUGUUUGUCUAUCAAAAGACACAGAAUAAGAAAAAAUCCAGAAAAACAAUAAAUGUUUACAGUUGCUUUUGGCAACUAUGACUUGUUCUGUGUCUUUUAAUACUUGAAUCCAGUUUAUUGGACUAUUUGUACAAUUGUCUAUCAAGUGUUGUUGAAAAUUUAAUAGGCCAGUGUUUAUUUUACAAAAUAUUGAAAUUUUAUCUAAUGAUUUUUAUAUUUUUUAGCAUAUAUUAAUUUAUUUUUGAAAUUUUUGGGGUAUCCCCAGGUAUCAUUGUUAAUUUUUUUUAGCAAACUCUGAAGGGUUUAAAUUCUGCUCUGCAUUGGCAAUCUAGGAUCCCCCAAUAUGAUGCCAAAUUAAACUUUGACAUUCUUACUACAGUAAUGAGUUUAUAAAAGAUUGAUUUGGGGCUCCAGGCAACUGUCCUUUUUGCCCAUAGGAUAACAUGCCAUCGGCUACAUUUCCAAACAAGAACAUAAAUAAUAGUACUGAUGUAUUGUCUGUUGGAUAUUCUGCAUGCUAACAUUUGUGGUCCAGUGUUCCUUAGUGCCAUGCUUCUAUUCUGACAAAUAUCUUGGAACAAGUAGAUUUGGUCCACUGGUUUAUAAAACUAAAGGUUAACAAUAAUGUAUUUACACUACAGGAGAAUGAAUUAUGAAAUUAUUUAUUUAAAUAACUUUUAAAUGUCAGAACUUUUAAUUUUAUUUUAUCAAAUGUGAAAAUGAUUGGACUAUUUUAAUAAUAAAAAAUUUUUGUAUAGCUUUGAAAAUUCUAAAUUUUGAUGAAAUAUUGAAAAAUACCAUUUUUAAAAAUUUAUCUUCACGGCUGUUAUGGGUUGUUAAUCAGUUCCUAUAAAUUUGUUAUUACUGGACAGUUUUAAUGUAUUAAUAUUAAACUUCAAUAGUGUCAUUGGUUAUAUCAUACGAUAUCAGUUAGUGUCGGCAGGUAUGUAGUACAGGUUGGAUGUAAAUCCAAUCUAAACCAUCAUGAUUUUUAAUAUAUAUAUAUAUAUAAUGGCUUUAUAUAAUAUUUUAUAAUACAUAUCAUAUCAAUAGUAUUGAAUAAGGUUUUUGAAUGAAUCAGAAAGAUUAUUCAUUGGAAAAUGAAUCAUUAUAUUAUCAUUUAAAACUGAUGUUCUUUGAGUGUUUGUUUUUUAAUAUCGAAAACCUUGAUGGCUGGAUAUUUAGCUGAUUCCUCUAGCAUUUCAUUUUGAGGUAUCCUCUUUUGAUCCUGGUUAUAUGGAUUUGGAGAUAUUGAUCCCUUUGCCUCAUCACAAGCCAGCCAUUAUGAGUCUUGUAUGAUGGAUGUGAGACCUUUUAGGGGCUCACAAAAGGAAAGUAAAUAGUUUUAAAUUUGAUCAUUUUUGAUACAGUAAACUUUGCUAAGUCAAACUGCAUUAACUUGAAGUAUGCAGUUUGAAUUAUUAACUUGAAGUAUGCAGUAUGAAUUAUUGUAUAUAAACACUUGAAGUUCUAAAGAACCCAAUAUGGGUUGUUUAAACCUUCAAGUGUUUAUAUACAAUAAAUCUGAGUUAAAAUUACUGUUACUUAUACUCUUUGUCUAGGUUUGAGUUAUGUUAAACUCUAUGCUAAAUGUUGCAUAUAAUAAUAAAGUAAAUGCUGUCAGACAGUGUUAAAAUAAAAGAAUUUUAAUGCCAUCUGACAAUGUGUUUACUUUAUUUAUUAUUAUACUUGAGCCUAUUUUCCCUGUGUAUCUUCCACCUUUUGUAGGUCCAUGAUCAUUUUCUCUUAUAUUAUGUACAAAUACAGAUGAUUAGGAUAAACAAACACUAUGAUUCCAUGCUAAACAUAACACCAUGCCAUUACAACCUUGUAUCAGCAUCCUUUUACUGAUGUAGUAUAUUAUUGGUGUUCUACACAAAGUACUCAAAAGCAGCAUAAACUAUGUACAGUUUUGUAAUCAAUCUGUGAACAGAUUCUUGAGAAAUAACUUAAUAACGGGAGAUUUACAGUUACAGAAAAAUUUGAGAAUAAACCGAUUUUCUCAAGUUAAUCAAUGUAUUAACUCGAUACUCUUUAAUUUAAAGUCAGGAUGUUUUUAUUUGUUAAAAGUCAAUGUAAUGCAGCUUUAUGGUAAUAGCAAACGUGUCUUUAUGAUUGAAUGAAUGUUUUUGUGUCUAUCUGUUUCUUACUUAUGAUAGUUUUAGAAUUCCAGAACUUAGACAGUUUUAGAUUUGUAACUGUCAAUGUUCUAGUAAUUAUUUUGGCAUUUUAUUUAGUCUUUUGUAAAGUGCUAUUGAUUUUAAUACUUAACUUUUUCGAUCACUUUUAUCGACAAAACAAUAUAAAAUGCAUCUUAUAAUCAAAUAAGCUGGGUUCAUUAUCUCUAUACAUUUUGGCUAAUUAAAUAGGCAAAUGCUACAUAGUAAAAACUAAAGGUAAACAAUUAAGUUGCCAUCCUCUAUUACAUUUAAUAAUUGGGCUACAAUUUUCAAAUUGCAGACUAUAAAUUCCCACUGUUGUUUGUCUGUCCUUCAUUAAUCUCGAACAGAAUUAAAUAGAUGAAAAUCGAGACUAGUUACAGAAAGCUUAGGGACCAGAGGCCCAGACUAUAUAUGAACUUCUGGUUUGGACCAGCAGUCACACAAUAUCAAUUCAAAAACUUUUGUUUUACUAUAUAGAACAAUAAAUAUUGUAUAGGAUUUAUUCUUCUAAUUUAAAUUAAAACAUCAUUAAAAAUUGCAAUAGAGAAUUGUGACAAUGUCACAAUAUGUAAAUUUAAUUAAUUUAGAAUAUUCUGGAAGAUCAAUCCGGAGUAGGAUUCAAACCCCCAACUCCUGCUUAGGGCUUGUUGGAAAUGCUAAUGGAUGAGACUGGACAUAAUUCAAACUGAAUAUUAGCAUUUCCGAACAAACUGUUAUUGUACGGUGAGGAUUUGUUUCUUCGUUUGUUGGUUUGAAUCGCGCUCUCAACCAAUCUCUUCUUCUGGCUUAAUCACCUACCUUUAAUCAAAACUAUGUAGCAUUUUGUAUAUAUAAUUAGCCAAAAUGUAGCUAGAUAAAGAAUCCCUCUUAUUUCAUUAGUAAUUUGGGCUUGGUUUCUAAUGUGCACUUUGUAAGAUAGAUUAUUUUGGAAUUUGCUGCAUUUCUUUGAAUUACAUAAAAUCUUGUAUUUCAUUAUUGAAUCUCAUGAUCUGCUGUUAUUACUUCAUUAAAUGACAGAAUUGAAAAUAGAAUUUUUUCAUAAAAUGUGCAGAAUUUGCAUCAAAAGUCAGUAUUACAAUUUUUACUUUUACUAAGUUUUCUAGUCAAAUUUAUUCACAACUCAUUUCAUUAAUUUUGUUUUUCAAUUUAGGAUACAAGAUGGAGCUGGACCAGGGUGCCUGAUCUCCAGUUACGUGAGGAACAGCACAAACGUGUCGAGAGUGUCACUUGUCACGAACUCGUUCGGUGAAUGAAUUAGUACCACGUGACAUUCUCGACACAUUCAUGUUACUUACAUAACUGAAGACUCGACAUCCAGAUUAGUGGUUCGCUCUUCUCCAAGUCAUAAAAAUGUACAAGUAAAAUAAAUAAGUAGCUUUAAAUUUUGGCAGUCUCUAUGCCAGAUGGUCAGAAAGUCUCAUCUUGUUUAAUCAGUCUUAAAUAAUCUUACUAUAUGCCUUGGUUAAUUGACUUUUGGACUGUCUUGUAUCUCUUUAUAUGGGCCUACUAUUUAUUUAUACAUUAUUUUUUACUGUAAUUUUUAUUAAAUUUUCAAAGUGCAAUUAAGUAUAUUUGGCAAAGUGUUUUGUAUUGAAGAAUACUUGUUGAGAAAAACAGUUAUUUUCUGUUAGAAGUCCAUUUUUUGAUCUGAAAUUUUAAUUUUGAGUUACUGCAUUAUUUAAACAUCUAGUCUCAUUGUAGUUUCAAUAAAUUGAAUAGUAAAUCUUAUCAAAAUUCCUAUUUAAUACAAAUUUUUUAUAAAAAAACAUUUUUUAUAAAAAAUGUAUUAGAUAUUGUGAUUUCUCUUAGUUUUAAUUUUCAUAUUUUAUCCAUUAUUUGUUAUAAUUCUUGAGUAAGUAUCCAAUUAAAACAACCAACCUUACUCGAUUUCAUAAAUCAAAACUUCAAAUUUGGACAAUCAAUCCAUUUAUUGAUGGAUUAUUUUUCUCAAAAUGUUUAUAAAAAUAUUCUGAAAUUGUAUAAAAAUAUAUUUUGCUAUAUAAUUGAGUACUUAUUCUAUUUGAUAUCUAUGUGUGUGUGCACUGCUUAACGAUGGAAAUACAUUCCGAGAAAUGCAUUGUUAAGCGAAUGUUAUAGCGUAUACUUAGACAAACUUGUACAUAUUUCUACCCCACGAUCUUAUAAAUAAUGCCAUAACACACACACAGCAAUCUGGUGUUAAUCUGAGUGUUAAGGAGAUAUUUAACUUCUUUAUAGUAUUAUUUAGCACACUGAUGGGUUAGGUAUUAUAUGGUGCACAUUGUUAAAUAUUACACAGCACAUUAUGAUUAUUUACAGAUGUUUUAGGUGUUUAUAAGCUGUGUUUAUCAUGUUUCUAUCAAGUUUUAUCUGAAUGUGAAUUAUUCUAUAAAUGUAACUGCUGUUUGUUAUAUUUUGUUUUUAUUCUAAAUGAAGUUGAGUAUAAUUUAUCAUAAUUUACAUAUGAUUUUAAAUUACUCACAUUUUAUGAAGUAAUUUUAUGUUAAAUGUAGUUUUCAUUAUACAUAGGGUACUUAUUAGCAAGACGGUGGAGUUGGAAUUAUUAAAAAUGUACUGACUCCAAUCUGAAUGUAAACUUACAGAUAAUAAGCGGUAACUUAGCGUAAUGAUUUGUGUGGUGGCAAUGAAAAUUAAUUUUAAAUGGUAGCUUGAGACAAUACAUAUUAAUAAUGGUUCUAUAACCUUUUGAGCUGUUGCAGGGUUGAAUUUGGAAAUAUUUAAAAACUGAAAAGGUGGAGUUGACAAUUUUGUAUACCAACUCCACAGCUUCACUUGCUGAAAUAUAAGCUGUAAAUUUACUUAACUGUGCAUAUAUAUGGUAGAACUCAGAUUAUCUGAACCACCACUUGCCCUCUUCUCUCUCUCACUGAUGUUCCCAUGAAUGCAACUCCAAUCUUGUCUGCAAACUUGCAGAAACAAAAAUGUCUUGUUCUUGCCAUGACAGACAAUGUUAACAUUGUCAAUGUAUGAAAAUUAUGUUGCUGAUAAACAUGGUCUGGGAGCAGAUAAUGUUUCAACAUUAAGGAAUAUGGUGACAAUACUGAAGUUUACUGUGGCAGAUUCAAAUGAUCAAAUAAAUAUAGUACAUGUACAAUACUGUGCUGCCACCCUGUAAUUUCAUUCUUUACAUGAUAAUCCACUUAUCCGAAUCAUACGCAGAACAAAUCAAUUUGGAUAAUCAGAGUUCUACUGUAAUAUCAAUUUUAUGUACAGAAAUUUUUUUAAGUAUUGUAAAAGGUAUAUGUUUGAUGACAAAAUAUUUUAAUAUCAAUUUAACUGUGGUAAUAUAUGCUUUGUUAUUGCAUUUUUGUAUAUUUAUAAUAAAUAAUAACUAUGUAUCAUUAUGUAUGGGAAAAUUAUGAAUGCAAAUAUCAUUGUACAAAAGAUAAAACUGUGGAAAGCAAUUUUGUGAUUCUUCUGUUUUUUUAUUUAAGUCUAAAAAAUGUAUAAUUUAUGAAACAAGUUUCAUGCCAAUAUCACUGAACAAUAUUUGGCCAGAUGGCCUGAAUGGAUUUGAACUCGAUUUCUGACUGUUGAAAUGUCUUACAUUCUAUUGCUAUGCAGAUUCUGGGUUCAAAUUCAGUCUAAAUCUUAUGUUUUAUGGGUGUUUUGGGAUGGAGCAUUGUUCCCUAUCCUUCAUCCACUCUAACCUACCUUAAUUACAGGUCAGGCCACUUAUAAGGAGUAAACUGUACACUCGUAAAUCUCAUUGUGCAAGUGAAUAGGAUUGAAUUUAUAAGAGGCACAUUCUAUUAUAAAUUAUAGAAAUUGAAUUGACUACUUUUUAUUAUGUAUAUAAAAUUUCAGUGCACAUAUUUUUCUUACAAACUCUUUUCUGUAUCAAAUUGGAAUAAUUUGGUGGAUUGUUAAGGUUUAGUCUUACUUGCACGAGUACUGUGGCUCUAAUCCCUCAACUAGAUCACACGACAGUAUAUGUAGCGAGAAGAUCUGGCUAGGCCAUAGAGGAAACAAUCCAAUCAUAUUAUGAGACUGCAGUCAAUAGAAAUAACAAAUCUGAAAGGAUUAGUACCCAAAAUUACAUUUAAUGGUAGUUUGCAACAAUAAAAUUCUUGUAAUUGGCAUAUUUUUUUGUCUUUUAGACAGAUCCUGCAAGUCUGCAGUACGUUCUUGUGCAUAACUAGAGCACCUAUAGAAAAGUAUUGCUAUUUAGUUGAUGCAUACAUUUGGUUUUUUUGCACAAAAAUUUUAUUACUGAGAAUAACAAUACCAUCUUUAAAUGAACACUUUUUAACCUUUUUACUUUAAAAAAAUUGUGUGAGACAUCCAGGAGUAUUUAGUAUCUUUACUAUGCUUAAUACUGUUGUAUUUUAAUAUCCUAAAUACAAAUAGUGAUUUUAGAACCUAAAGAUUGACUUGUAACCACAAUUGGCAUUCAAUUUACUAUUUACUGUUAUGUUUAUUGUUUUGUAGUUACAACCAAAGUGAGCGCUCAGGUACCAUUCCCGUGAUGCAUCAGCAACGAUCGCCAUCUGGCGGACUCACUAAUAUUUUACAUUUCAACGUCUCCAAUACAAUACACAUUACAAUAUAAUUAGACACACAAAGCUCUGGGUACACAUACAAGAUAUAGGACAUUUCAUGUUUAGUCAAGUUUAACUGGUUCUAAAAAACAGAUAACAUACCUGAAACCAAUGUUAAAUAAUAAUAGGCAGUUUUAUUGAACAAAAGUACUUCUAAUUUUAAUAGCAUUUUCUUUAGAAGUGUGGUUUCUCUUCAGUAAAGUUUUAGAGUUAUUUUAUUUUUUUGUAGCAUUUUCAUCAAAUUCUCAUCUUUUAAAAUGGAAUCAAAUGUAACUUAUGUAGAACAAAAUAUUUAUAUUUGGGAAAUUAUUCAAACUGUUUAAAUUCUUAUUUAGCAACAGCAAACCUUUUUUCCAAAGGCAGAUCAAAGUCUAAUUACUUCAAAUUGCAGGUCAAAUAUUUAAUUUAUUUUACUAUAUUUUUCAGAAAAAUAAAAAAA
rnacentral:misc_RNA from 1 species